rnacentral:rRNA from 1 species
UACGAAGGGGGCUAGCGUUGUUCGGAAUUACUGGGCGUAAAGCGUGCGCAGGCGGCUUCUCAAGUCAGGGGUGAAAGCCCAGAGCUCAACUCUGGAAUUGCCUUUGAGACUGAGUGGCUUGAGUACGAGAGAGGUGAGUGGAAUUCCCAGUGUAGAGGUGAAAUGCGUAGAUAUCGGAAGGAACACCUGUGGCGAAAGCGGCUCACUGGACCAUUACUGACGCUGAGGCACGAAAGCUAGGGGAGCAAACAGG